GACGAACGCUGGCGGCGUGCUUAACACAUGCAAGUCGAACGAUGAAGCCCAGCUUGCUGGGUGGAUUAGUGGCGAACGGGUGAGUAACACGUGGGCAACCUGCCCCAAACUCUGGGAUAACUCCUCGAAAGAGGUGCUAAUACCGGAUACGAACUAGGUAGACAUCUGCACUAGUUGGAAAGUUUUUCGGUUUGGGAUGGGCCCGCGGCCUAUCAGCUUGUUGGUGAGGUAACGGCUCACCAAGGCUACGACGGGUAACCGGCCUGAGAGGGCGACCGGUCACACUGGGACUGAGACACGGCCCAGACUCCUACGGGAGGCAGCAGUGGGGAAUAUUGCGCAAUGGGAGAAAGCCUGACGCAGCGACGCCGCGUGAGGGAUGAAGGUCUUCGGAUCGUAAACCUCUUUCAGUAGGGACGAAGCGAAAGUGACGGUACCUAAAGAAGAAGCACCGGCUAACUACGUGCCAGCAGCCGCAGUAA
rnacentral:rRNA from 1 species